GACGAACGCUGGCGGCGUGCUUAACACAUGCAAGUCGAACGGAAAGGCCCUGCUUUUGUGGGGUGCUCGAGUGGCGAACGGGUGAGUAACACGUGAGUAACCUGCCCUUGACUUUGGGAUAACUUCAGGAAACUGGGGCUAAUACCGGAUAGGAGCUCCUGCUGCAUGGUGGGGGUUGGAAAGUUUCGGCGGUUGGGGAUGGACUCGCGGCUUAUCAGCUUGUUGGUGGGGUAGUGGCUUACCAAGGCUUUGACGGGUAGCCGGCCUGAGAGGGUGACCGGCCACAUUGGGACUGAGAUACGGCCCAGACUCCUACGGGAGGCAGCAGUGGGGAAUAUUGCACAAUGGGCGGAAGCCUGAUGCAGCAACGCCGCGUGCGGGAUGACGGCCUUCGGGUUGUAAACCGCUUUCGCCUGUGACGAAGCGUGAGUGACGGUAAUGGGUAAAGAAGCACCGGCUAACUACGUGCCAGCAGCCGCGGUGAUACGUAGGGUGCGAGCGUUGUCCGGAUUUAUUGGGCGUAAAGGGCUCGUAGGUGGUUGAUCGCGUCGGAAGUGUAAUCUUGGGGCUUAACCCUGAGCGUGCUUUCGAUACGGGUUGACUUGAGGAAGGUAGGGGAGAAUGGAAUUCCUGGUGGAGCGGUGGAAUGCGCAGAUAUCAGGAGGAACACCAGUGGCGAAGGCGGUUCUCUGGGCCUUUCCUGACGCUGAGGAGCGAAAGCGUGGGGAGCGAACAGGCUUAGAUACCCUGGUAGUCCACGCUGUAAACGGUGGGUACUAGGUGUGGGGUCCAUUCCACGGGUUCCGUGCCGUAGCUAACGCUUUAAGUACCCCGCCUGGGGAGUACGGCCGCAAGGCUAAAACUCAAAGGAAUUGACGGGGCCCCGCACAAGCGGCGGAGCAUGCGGAUUAAUUCGAUGCAACGCGUAGAACCUUACCUGGGUUUGACAUGGAUCGGGAGUGCUCAGAGAUGGGUGUGCCUCUUUUGGGGUCGGUUCACAGGUGGUGCAUGGCUGUCGUCAGCUCGUGUCGUGAGAUGUUGGGUUAAGUCCCGCAACGAGCGCAACCCUUGUUCACUGUUGCCAGCACGUUAUGGUGGGGACUCAGUGGAGACCGCCGGGGUCAACUCGGGGGAAGGUGGGGAUGACGUCAAGUCAUCAUGCCCCUUAUGUCCAGGGCUUCACGCAUGCUACAAUGGCUGGUACAGAGAGUGGCGAGCCUGUGAGGGUGAGCGAAUCUCGGAAAGCCGGUCUCAGUUCGGAUUGGGGUCUGCAACUCGACCUCAUGAAGUCGGAGUCCCUAGUAAUCGCAGAUCAGCAACGCUGCGGUGAAUACGUUCCCGGGGCU
rnacentral:rRNA from 1 species